CCUACGGGUGGCAGCAGUGGGGAAUAUUGCACAAUGGGGGAAACCCUGAUGCAGCGACGCCGCGUGAGUGAAGAAGUAUUUCGGUAUGUAAAGCUCUAUCAGCAGGGAAGAAAAUGACGGUACCUGAUUCAGAAGCUCCGGCAAACUACGUGCCAGCAGCCGCGGUAAUACGUAGGGGGCCAGCGUUAUCCGGAUUUACUGGUUGUAAGGGGAGGGUAGACGGCAGCACAAGUCUGGAGUGAAUUGCUGGGGCUUAACCCCGGAACUGCUUUGGAAACUGUGCAGCUAGAGUGCAGGAGGGGUAAGUGGAAGUCCUAGUGUAGCGGUGAAAUGCGUAGAUAUUAGGAGGAACACCAGUGGCGAAGGCGGCUUACUGGACUGUAACUGACGUUGAGGCUCGAAAGCGUGGGGAGCAAACAGGAUUAGAUACCCUGUAGUC
rnacentral:rRNA from 1 species